GAAAAUGAUUGAAUUUGAGUAGUUGAGGCAAACAGAUGAGAUGAGCAUGGAUGAGUACACAGACAGAUUCUUGGAGCUGUUGCCGUUUGCUGGGCAGAAUCUGGACACAGAUCAGAGGAAGUCAAGGAGGUAUAUCAUGAGGCUCCAUUCCAGGUAUUCCUCCUUGAUUCAGUCAGCAGAGAGGGAGAGUUUCCAUGCCAUAGUGGAUAUGGCUCGGAGGAUGGAGGCU
rnacentral:lncRNA from 1 species